UUGAAAGGGAAACGAUUGAAGUCAGUCGUACCAGCGGGAAAUCAACCUUUCGAGUGGUGUUUUGGAGUUUUGAAGUGUGUCAAAACCUUUGAGAUUUUAAAAUUUUCGCUCUUUUGGUGUACUUUCUCGUGGGUAGGUUAACAUCGAUUUUGAUCAUCAUAAAAGGACUGGAGGAAUGUAGCUUCGAUCUUGUAUUGAAGUGUUAUAGCCUUUGGUAAAUGUGAUGAUUAGGAUCGAGGAUUGCAACGAAUACCCUUUUGGGCUAUCCGCCUGAUCUCUGAUACGUGGCCUUGGUAUCGAAAGCGUGCUUAUGGUAUUGAGGUAUUACGGUCAAAAGGUUAGAACGGAUUACAUUCGUUAAGGAUGUUGACGUA
rnacentral:rRNA from 1 species